GACGAACGCUGGCGGCGCGCUUAACACAUGCAAGUCGAGCGAAGCGGCGGACGGGUGAGUAACACGUGAGUAACCUGCCUUAGACAUUGGGAUAGCCUCGGGAACCCGGGAUUACUCCCAAAUGGUCUAAGAUGGACUCGCGUCCCAUUAGCUAGUUGGUGAGGUAACGGCCCACCAAGGCGACGAUGGGUAGCCGGCCUGAGAGGGUGAAAGGCAAAAUUGGAACUGAGAAACGGUCCAAAAUAUACGGGAGGCAGCAGUGGGGAAUAUUGCACAAGGGAGGGAACUCUGAUGCAGCGACGCCGCGGGAACGAAGAAGGCGUUCGAGUCGUAAAGUUCUUUUAUAUGGGAAGCGGUACCAUAAGAAAAAGCCCCGGCUAACUACGUGCCAGCAGCCGCGGUAAUAC
rnacentral:rRNA from 1 species